GCUCGACCCGCCCGGCGGCGUGUUUUUGUUUUGAUCGCGCCCCCGCCGCCGCCCCGUGCAGCGGCCGCGGCCCGGAGGGCCGGCCGUUAUGGAGGUCCCGCCCCGGCUGUCGCAGGUGCCGCCGCCAUUGUUCCCCUCGCCUCCCUCCCCGCUGGCCCCCCGCAGCCUCUCCCAUUGGCGGUCCCGGGCGCCCCGGCUGCUCGCCCCGCUGCUGCCGUCGCUGAGUUCCGGCUCCUCCCGGCAGGGGGCGCGCCGAGCGCCGCGCCACGUCACCGCCCCCCAGCCCUCGCGAUUGGCGGGCGGGGCGUCUAUAAAGGGAGGGCGCAGGCGGCGCCCGGAUCUCUUCCGCCGCCAUUUUAAAUCGGGCUCCAUCCAACGCGCCGCCGCUGCGACUGCCUCUCCGCGCCGCCUGUCUCCGGCCGACAGCCCCGCCGCCAUGGAGGACGUGAACGAGUACAGCAACAUGGAGGAGUUCGCCGAGGGCUCCAAGAUCAACGCGAGCAAGAACCAGCAGGACGACGGUAAGAUGUUUAUUGGAGGGCUAAGCUGGGAUACGAGCAAGAAAGAUCUCACUGAGUACCUGUCUCGUUUUGGAGAGGUUGUAGACUGCACAAUUAAGACGGAUCCCGUCACGGGCAGAUCGCGGGGAUUCGGGUUUGUGCUCUUCAAAGACGCUGCCAGCGUGGACAAGGUCCUGGAGCUCAAAGAACACAAGCUGGAUGGCAAGUUGAUAGACCCCAAGAGGGCCAAGGCUCUAAAGGGGAAGGAGCCCCCCAAAAAAGUGUUCGUCGGCGGACUGAGCCCGGACACGUCCGAGGAGCAGAUCAAGGAGUAUUUCGGGGCGUUUGGAGAGAUUGAGAAUAUCGAACUUCCUAUGGACACAAAAACAAAUGAAAGAAGAGGAUUUUGUUUUAUCACAUAUACAGAUGAAGAACCAGUAAAGAAAUUAUUAGAAAACAGAUAUCAUCAGAUUGGUUCUGGGAAGUGUGAAAUCAAAGUUGCCCAGCCCAAAGAGGUAUACAGGCAGCAACAGCAACAACAGAAAGGAGGGAGGGGCGCUGCGGCUGGCGGUCGAGGUGGGACUAGGGGUCGUGGCCGAGGUCAGGGCCAAAACUGGAACCAAGGAUUUAAUAACUAUUAUGAUCAAGGAUAUGGAAAUUACAAUAGUGCCUAUGGUGGUGACCAAAACUAUAGUGGCUAUGGCGGAUAUGAUUAUACUGGGUAUAACUAUGGGAACUAUGGAUAUGGACAGGGAUAUGCAGACUACAGUGGUCAACAAAGCACGUAUGGCAAAGCAUCCCGAGGGGGUGGUAACCACCAAAACAAUUACCAGCCAUAUUAAAGGAGGACCCUGAGAAAACAGCGGGAACUUCAUUGCAGGCCGUGUGUCACCCUGACCACGUCUCUCUCUGGGGGUCGCACGUUGCGGGCAGAGCGCAAGGCACACACCAGAAAACGCUGUCCUGUGGUGCAGAUUGCUACCACAGCCUAUCCCGCAGGAUGACGACGUUGAAUGGAGAGUGGUCUUCUGUUGAUCUGAGAUGACUAUUUUGUAAAAGACUUUUAGUGUACAUGACACAACUGUGUCCAAUUGUAUAUAGCAGCCGAUUUAGUUUUCUUGUUUUUGCUUUGUCCUUUGCCAUCUGUGUUAUGACAAAUGUGGAUUUGUGUUUAUACAAAUUUUAUUUGUAUAAUUUCAUGUUAAAUGAUUCUCAAAAAUAAAUUACUUGUGAUUGUUUUUCUGUGUCAGGUACUAAAUAGCUCUGUAAAAUAUGUAAUUUUAAAUAAGCAAUAAUUGAGGCACAGUUUUAUUUUCGAGGAGUCAUGGACAGUGGGGAGAAGCAGUGGUCUUUUAUAAAUGAUGAGCAGCAAGCUUUGCCUUAGUGUCCUAAUUCCCUUGACAAAGGUCUAUGCUAAGGGUUCAUGUCCGUGUUUAAAAUAACCAUAGAUGCUACCAUGCAGUUGAACAGUGUUUGUCCCUCACGUUAAUUCUUGGGAUCUUUGUGAUGAGAAGUGUUAAUUCAGCAUGUUGUGAAUAGCUGAAGUUGUUUCUGUCAGGCCAUAGAUCCCUCGACUUUUAUUUUCAAAGUAGAGCACUUUUUUUAUAAAACACCAUAAAAUAAGGCAUAGUUAGUAACUGCUUUUAUGAGUUGACAAGAUGCUUUGAGCCUUAUUUGUAAAAAAAAAAACCAACAAAAAACCCACUCAUCUGUUAUGAUUACUUGACACUUGCAUUGAAUGUGAGUAAUUCAAUUUGCAAAUUUCUACAUCCAUUGAAACUGGAUCAAAGAUUGAUAUGGGCAAGCUUUUCACUGUAGAAUUGUAAGUAAAUGAAUUGUACUCUGAAAUAGUAGUUAUGUCACUGCCACUGCCAAACCGUAAAUAGCUGUUUCCAAUUGGAACACAUACUUGGAAAGCUUUAGUAGAGGUACAGCUUUUGUCUUGAAGUUUUUAGGAAAAGUCAUGGUAGUAAAUCCCAUUAACUCAUGUAUUGUUUUGUAUUUGAAAUAAAGGUUAUUUUUCCAUUUUUAAA